UCCUCAUCACUGAUAAUGUGAGAUGGAUAACAUGGACAUCUUAUAAUAAAGGGUAUAUUCACAAUAAUACUGGGACUAUUCAUUGCCUUGAAGGCAAUUCUGUUCCUCAGUAUGACACUAAAGCAAAGGCUAUUAUGACACUUUCCCUGUGAGGGAGGAACAUUUUCAUAAAUACUGGGUUGCUUUAUUCCUCUUUUGAGUAGUUCUGUUCUCUUGGCCUCAGCGUGUGCUCUGUUCUCCUGGCCUCGGCAUGGCAGAUGGAUAGGUGUGCUCUGUUCUCCUGGCCUCGGCAUGGCAGAUGGAUAGGUGUGCUCUGUUCUCCUGGCCUCGGCAUGGCAGAUGGAUAGGUGUGCUCUGUUCUCCUGGCCUCGGCAUGGCAGAUGGAUAGGUGUGCUCUGUUCUCCUGGCCUCGGCAUGGCAGAUGGAUAGGUGUGCUCUGUUCUCCUGGCCUCGGCAUGGCAGAUGGAUAGGUAUGCUCUGUUCUCCUGGCCUCGGCAUGGC